GGACGAAAGCCUGACGGAGCGACACCGCGUGGUGGAUGAAGGCCUUAGGGUCGUAAACACCUUUUCUGAGGGAAGAAGAUCUGACGGUCACCUCAGGAAUAAGCCCCGGCUAAUUACGUGCCAGCAGCCGCGGUAAUACGUAAGGGGCAAGCGUUAUCCGGAAUUAUUGGGUGUAAAGCGUCCGCAGGUGGCACUAGAAAGUCUGUCAUUAAAUCCCGUGGCUCACCCAUGGUGCUGUGAUGGAAACUUCUGUGCUACAGGAUAGGAGAGGAAUGUGGAAUUCUGCAA
rnacentral:rRNA from 1 species